rnacentral:rRNA from 2 species
UUGACCUCAAAUCAGGUAGGACUACCCGCUGAACUUAAGCAUAUCAAUAAGCGGAGGAAAAGAAACUAACAAGGAUUCCCCUAGUAACUGCGAGUGAAGCGGGAAGAGCUCAAAUUUGAAAUCUGGCGGCUCUUUGACCGUCCGAGUUGUAAUCUAGAGAAGUGCUACCCGUGCUGGACUGUGUACAAGUCUCCUGGAAUGGGGCAUCGUAGAGGGUGAGAAUCCCGUCUUUGACACGGACUGCCAGUGCGCCCUGGGUGUGCUCUCGAAGAGUCGAGUUGUUUGGGAAUGCAGCUCAAAAUGGGUGGUAAAUGCCAUCUAAAGCUAAAUAUUGGCGAGAGACCGAUAGCGAACAAGUACCGUGAGGGAAAGAUGAAAAGAACUUUGGAAAGAGAGUUAAACAGUACGUGAAAUUGCUGAAAGGGAAACGCUUGGAGUCAGUCGCGUUGGCCAGAAAUCAGCCUUGCUCCUGCUUGGUGUACUUUCUGGUCUUUUACGGGUCAGCAUCAAUCUUGACCGCCGGACAAAGUCUUUGGGAAUGUGGCAUCUUUUGGAUGUGUUAUAGCCCAGGGUCGCAUACGGCGGCUGGGAUUGAGGAACUCAGCACGCCCGCAAGGGAUGGGUCCUUGGACCACAAAUUUUUUUCGUGCUUAGGAUGCUGGCAUAAUGGCUUCAAUCGACCCGUC